GAUGAGAACGUAGCGAAAUGCGAUAAGUAAUGUGAAUUGCAGAAUUCAGUGAAUCAUCGAAUCUUUGAACGCACAUUGCGCCCGCCAGUAUUCUGGCGGGCAUGCCUGUUCGAGCGUCAUUACAACCCUCAGGCCCCCGGGCCUGGCGUUGGGGAUCGGCGGAAGCCCCCUGCGGGCACAACGCCGUCCCCCAAAUACAGUGGCGGUCCCGCCGCAGCUUCCAUUGCGUAGUAGCUAACACCUCGCAACUGGAGAGCGGCGCGGCCACGCCGUAAAACACCCAACUUCUGAAUGUUGACCUCGAAUCAGGUAGGAAUACCCGCUGAACUUAAGCAUAUCAAUAAGCGGGAGGA
rnacentral:misc_RNA from 1 species